rnacentral:rRNA from 1 species
UACGUAGGCAGCGAGCGUUGUUCGGAGUUACUGGGCGUAAAGGGUGUGUAGGCGGUUCUUUAAGUUUGGUGUGAAAUCUCCCGGCUCAACCGGGAGGGUGCGCCGAAUACUGAGGGACUAGAGUACGGGAGAGGAAAGUGGAAUUCCUGGUGUAGCGGUGAAAUGCGUAGAUAUCAGGAGGAACACCGGUGGUGUAGACGGCUUUCUGGACCGUAACUGACGCUGAGACACGAAGGCUAGGGGAGCAAACGGG